rnacentral:misc_RNA from 1 species
ACCUUAAAGAACCUGCCUUUGUAGUGCUCACACAGAUUGUCUGAUGAAAAACAGCAGUAAAAAACCUCUACAGGCUUGUAGCUCAGGUGGUUAGAGCGCACCCCUGAUAAGGGUGAGGUCGGUGGUUCAAGUCCACUCAGGCCUACCAAAUUUGCGAAGCAAAUUUGAAGAGGUUGGCAAAACGAUGGGGCUAUAGCUCAGCUGGGAGAGCGCCUGCUUUGCACGCAGGAGGUCUGCGGUUCGAUCCCGCAUAGCUCCACCAUCUUUUACUGCGAACACAAGAAAACUUCAGAGUGAACCUGAAAAGGUGCACUGCGAAGUUUUGCUCUUUAAAAAUCUGGAUCAAGCUGAAAAUUGAAACGACACACAUGUUAUGUGUGUUCGAGUCUCUCAAAUUUUCGCAAGUCGAUGGUGAAUCGAAAGAAACAUCUUCGGGUUGUGA